rnacentral:rRNA from 1 species
UACAGAGGGGGCGAGCGUUGUCGGAAUUACUGGGCGUAAAGGGCGCGUAGGCGGCUUGGUCAGUCCCGUGUGAAACCCCUCGGCUCAACCGGGGAACUGCGUCCGAUACUGGCGGGCUUGAAUUCGGGAGAGGGAUGUGGAAUUCCAGGUGUAGCGGUGAAAUGCGUAGAUAUCUGGAGGAACACCGGUGGCGAAGGCGGCAUCCUGGACCGACAUUGACGCUGAGGCGCGAAAGCCAGGGGAGCAAACGGG